rnacentral:rRNA from 1 species
GAUGAACGCUGGCGGCGUGCCUAAUACAUGCAAGUCGAACGAACGGACGAGAAGCUUGCUUCUCUGAUGUUAGCGGCGGACGGGUGAGUAACACGUGGAUAACCUACCUAUAAGACUGGGAUAACUUCGGGAAACCGGAGCUAAUACCGGAUAAUAUUUUGAACCGCAUGGUUCAAAAGUAAAAGACGGUCUUGCUGUCACUUAUAGAUGGAUCCGCGCUGCAUUAGCUAGUUGGUAAGGUAACGGCUUACCAAGGCAACGAUGCAUAGCCGACCUGAGAGGGUGAUCGGCCACACUGGAACUGAGACACGGUCCAGACUACUACGGGAGGCAGCAGUAGGGAAUCUUCCGCAAUGGGCGAAAGCCUGACGGAGCAACGCCGCGUGAGUGAUGAAGGUCUUCGGAUCGUAAAACUCUGUUAUUAGGGAAGAACAUAUGUGUAAGUAACUGUGCACAUCUUGACGGUACCUAAUCAGAAAGCCACGGCUAACUACGUG